rnacentral:rRNA from 1 species
AGAGUUUGAUCCUGGCUCAGGACGAACGCUGGCGGCGCGCCUAACACAUGCAAGUCGAACGAGCGAGAGGAGGUUUACUUUCUCAAGCGAGUGGCGAACGGGUGAGUAACGCGUGAGGAACCUGCCUCAAAGAGGGGGACAACAGUUGGAAACGACUGCUAAUACCGCAUAAGCCCACGACCCGGCAUCGGGUAGAGGGAAAAGGAGCAAUCCGCUUUGAGAUGGCCUCGCGUCCGAUUAGCUAGUUGGUGAGGUAAUGGCCCACCAAGGCGACGAUCGGUAGCCGGACUGAGAGGUUGAACGGCCACAUUGGGACUGAGACACGGCCCAGACUCCUACGGGAGGCAGCAGUGGGGAAUAUUGCACAAUGGGGGAAACCCUGAUGCAGCGACGCCGCGUGGAGGAAGAAGGUCUUCGGAUUGUAAACUCCUGUUGUUGAGGAAGAUAAUGACGGUACUCAACAAGGAAGUGACGGCUAACUACGUGCCAGCAGCCGCGGUAAAACGUAGGUCACAAGCGUUGUCCGGAAUUACUGGGUGUAAAGGGAGCGCAGGCGGGAAGGCAAGUUGGAAGUGAAAUCCAUGGGCUCAACCCAUGAACUGCUUUCAAAACUGUUUUUCUUGAGUAGUGCAGAGGUAGGCGGAAUUCCCGGUGUAGCGGUGGAAUGCGUAGAUAUCGGGAGGAACACCAGUGGCGAAGGCGGCCUACUGGGCACCAACUGACGCUGAGGCUCGAAAGUGUGGGUAGCAAACAAGAUUAGAUACCCUGGUAGUCCACACUGUAAACG